rnacentral:tRNA from 1 species
GCCUUUGUGGUGUAGUGGUCAAGACGCUCGACGCGUAACCGAGAGGUCCUGGUUCGAAUUCUUGCGAGGGCA